CCUAGAACUCACCCACAAGAUGAUGGAGCUGCUGACUGGAGAGGUUCCUGUAAGGUGUCAGGAUGUGGCGGUCUAUUUCUCCAUGGAGGAGUGGGAGUAUGUAGAAGGACACCAGGAUCUGUACAAGGAGGUCAUGAUGGAGGCUCCCCGGCCUCUGACAUCACCAGAUGGAUCCAGGAGAAGAAAUUCCCCCGAGAGAUGUCCCCGUCCUCUGUAUUCCCAGG